UUACGGCUACAUCACGUUGAAAUACCGGUUCCCAAACGAUCACAGAAGUUAAGCAACGCCGAGCCUGGUCAGUGCCUAGAUGGGUGACCAUUUGGGAAUAUAAGGU